AGCAAGACUAACUCCUCCAACCAUGUUCCGUUGCGUUCUCGUCCUGGCCCUGGCCACCUGCGCCUUCGCGGGCUACCUUGGCUACGGUGGCUAUCCCGUGGCUGCCCCCUUGACUACUUCAUAUUCCACCGUCCACCACACCCCAGUGGUUUCUAGCCUCGGCUACGGACAUGGACUGGGCUAUGGCUAUGGUCUCGGCUAUGGCCACCGUCUUGGCUACGGUUAUGGUCUGUCCGGCUAUGGCCUUGGCUACGGUUAUGGACUCGGUCACCUUGGAUACGGAGGCUUCUACAAGAAGUGAAGAGUCAGGGCGUCUGAAACCUCCUUAUCAAGAUCUGUUGGACCUGCAUUCAACACAAGCAAGAGCUCUCGGAAAGAAAUCAAAUGGACUGAAAUAAAUAUAUCGCCCUGAAAAGUGCAA